rnacentral:ncRNA from 2 species
GCACACCACUGGAGGUGCCCUUAUGGGCUGAGAAACACUCUUAAUACCUGAUCUGGAUUAUGCCAGCGUAGGGAAGUGGCAUAGAUUCGUU